GGACCACCUGGUCUUCAGGGACCAAAUGGCCCACUAGGAGAAGAAGGCAAGAGAGGGCCCAGAGGGGAGCCUGGUUCUGCUGGACCACUGGGACCCCCUGGAGAGAGAGGAACUCCCGGUAACCGUGGUUUCCCUGGUCAAGAUGGUCUGGCUGGUCCAAAGGGAGCCCCCGGUGAGCGUGGACCCUCCGGAGCCAGCGGUCCCAAAGGUGCCAGCGGUGACCCCGGCCGCCCUGGAGAGCCCGGUCUGCCCGGUGCCAGAG